UGUUUUUUUCUUUCGUCGCUCCAGAGACGCCUCCCCCUUCCUCUUCCUCGUGCCGCAUCCCCCUUCCUCUUCCUCCCUCGUGGCGCACCCCCCUUCCUCCCUCUUCAUCUGCUUUUUCCUCCGGGGAUCCCACUCCGACAAGAGACCGCUGCCCUGGUGGUCAGUGUCUCCUCGUCGGCGUCGGCGUCGGCGUCAUCUAGGGUUCCUUCAAGGUUGGGGUCGUCUAGGGUUCCGUCAAGGCCCGCGCGUCUAGGGUUCCGUCAAGCUCCAUCAAGUUCGUCAUCUUCAAGAAGUAUUCCAUUGGUACAGCAGAGAGAGGACAAGGGGCUCAUCGAGGCACGUGGUGCUAGGCACUUCCGGCCACACUGCUUGUUCGGCAUCCUAUUUCAAAACAGCCGCUGUGAGCUCUUGGUCUGAGCUCAUGGUCCAUCGAAUUUUUUUCCAUGAUGAUUUACAAGCUCUACGCCAAAAAUUCCUUUUUGAGAUUGUAACUUGCAAGGACAAUGAAAUUCAGCUGCCGUUAGUAACUUCUUUCCUGCAGAGACAUGGUUUCCGCAUAUUCAAGUGAAGCUUUGAGUGCCAAUCUUUACUCAUUCUGCAUAUGUAGUCACCUUAGGGUCUCAUUAAUACUGUCACCUUCAAGGGAAGUUGCACUGCAAGAUUCAACUCAAAGGAAUACUUCCAUGGGAAAAAUGUUUCCUUACCGAUAGAGUUAUCUUUUUUUUCUCUUUCUGGUCUAGUGAUAGUUUCUUCCAAGACCUUCAGCUGUAAACAAUGUCCGGAAACAGCUGAAACAGUUUUGUAAACGAGCAGUAAGACAUGUACAUUUUUUUGUCUUU